UACGAAGGGGGGCUAGCGUUGCUCGGAAUCACUGGGCGUAAAAGCGCACGUAGGCGGAUUGUUAAGUCAGGGGUGAAAUCCUGGAGCUCAACUCCAGAACUGCCUUUGAUACUGGCGAUCUUGAGUCCGGGAGAGGUGAGUGGAACUCCGAGUGUAGAGGUGAAAUUCGUAGAUAUUCGGAAGAACACCAGUGGCGAAGGCGGCUCACUGGCCCGGUACUGACGCUGAGGUGCGAAAGCGUGGGGAGCAAACAGG
rnacentral:rRNA from 1 species